rnacentral:lncRNA from 1 species
CAAUGUUGGCCAGCUCCUGGUGCUGCUAUCUGGCCUCUUUCUUUGGGUGGUUUUUCUGCUAUCUGGUGCUGCUAUCUGCUCUCUCUGGUCUGUGUUCACGGCAGUAUAAGGCCUGAUUGUCCUGUUAGGGCAUAAAUAUCGCCUGAGCAAAAUCGUUUCUACACUGUUCCCAAUUGAAAGUUGUCAGAAGCAUAUGGAUAUUCGAUGUAUAAUGGCCGCUCAUUGGGGUUUGGUAGGACUCAUUUUAGAGUUUUUAAUAAGUUGUAUGGAUAUUUAAGAAAUGUGAUUGAGUUGUUUAAAUAAUCGGGAAGUAUGAGAUAAUAUAAAAAAUUAAAUAGGUCCCACUUAAUGGUGCUCUUAGGAGCUUGACAGGGCAUCGUUUCGAGGGUCUGUUUUUUGCUGCUGUUUCUUGGCCUUUUUUUUUCCUGCUAUCAGUUUGUCUUGUUUAGUUUUUGUUCUGGUUUAGUUUUUGGAGUUCGCGAUGAGUACCGGUUCGUUUUUUUCUUGCAAGUUGUCGGGUAUAUACGAAAAUUGUUGUCCAGCUCCUUA